GGGCUGUUGGCACAGUUGGUUAGCGCAUACGCCUGAUAAGCGUAAGGUCGGUGGUUCAAAUCCACUACAGCCCA
rnacentral:tRNA from 1 species